CACGUAGGGACCAAGCGUUGUCCGGAUUCAUUGGGCGUAAAGAGCUCGUAGGCGGUUCGAUAAGUCGGGUGUGAAACCUCCAGGCUCAACCUGGAGACGCCACCCGAUACUGUCGUGACUAGAGUCCAGUAGGGGAGCGUGGAAUUCCUGGUGUAGCGGUGAAAUGCGUAGAUAUUGGGAGGAACACCAGUGGCGAAGGCGGCUCACUGGACCGGUACUGACGCUGAAGCGCGAAAGCGUGGGGAGCAAACGGG
rnacentral:rRNA from 1 species